rnacentral:rRNA from 1 species
GAUGAACGCUGGCGGCGUGCUUAACACAUGCAAGUCGAACGAAGCAUUUGCGACAGAUUUUUUCGGAAUGAAGUUGCUUAUGACUGAGUGGCGGACGGGUGAGUAACGCGUGGGUAACCUGCCUUGUACUGGGGGAUAGCAGCUGGAAACGGCUGGUAAUACCGCAUAAGCGCACAAUGUUGCAUGACAUGGUGUGAAAAACUCCGGUGGUAUAAGAUGGACCCGCGUCUGAUUAGCUAGUUGGUGAGAUAACAGCCCACCAAGGCGACGAUCAGUAGCCGACCUGAGAGGGUGACCGGCCACAUUGGGACUGAGACACGGCCCAGACUCCUACGGGAGGCAGCAGUGGGGAAUAUUGCACAAUGGAGGAAACUCUGAUGCAGCGACGCCGCGUGAGUGAAGAAGUAAUUCGUUAUGUAAAGCUCUAUCAGCAGGGAAGAUAGUGACGGUGCCUGACUAAGAAGCGCCGGCUAAAUACGUG